rnacentral:rRNA from 1 species
GCGGCAGUUCGCUCUACACCCUUUGUGACAUACCUACAACUGUUGCUUCGGCGGGUAGGGUCUCCGCGACCCUCCCGGCCUCCCGCCUCCGGGCGGGUCGGCGCCCGCCGGAGGAUAACCAAACUCUGAUUUAACGACGUUUCUUCUGAGUGGUACAAGCAAAUAAUCAAAACUUUUAACAACGGAUCUCUUGGUUCUGGCAUCGAUGAAGAACGCAGCGAAAUGCGAUAAGUAAUGUGAAUUGCAGAAUUCAGUGAAUCAUCGAAUCUUUGAACGCACAUUGCGCCCGCCAGCAUUCUGGCGGGCAUGCCUGUUCGAGCGUCAUUUCAACCCUCAAGCUCUGCUUGGUGUUGGGGCCCUACAGCCGAUGUAGGCCCUCAAAGGUAGUGGCGGACCCUCCCGGAGCCUCCUUUGCGUAGUAACUUUACGUCUCGCACUGGGAUCCGGAGGGACUCUUGCCGUAAAACCCCCCAAUUUUCCAAAGGUUGACCUCGGAUCAGGUAGGAAUACCCGCUGAACUUAAGCAUAUCAAAGCCCGGAGGAAUCAUUA